UAGACUCUAUUGUUUCUAUGAGCGCUGUGUUAUUUCCUGCAUGUUUCACCCUGGACCCAGGUUAUGCAACAUCUGCAUAGAAAUCUUGAAUGGUAAUCCGGACUGCUAUUGGAAUUCUCACCGACUUCUUUUCAUUGUGCCAACAUCAAAGACAAGAACAGAUGGCUCAACAACCAUUUUAACUCCAGGCGGGCUCUGGAUUUCAGCGUGGUAAACUGCAUUAACCUCGCCUACAUUUGUCACUGUUCUAGAUACUGUGGUUGGAUUCCUGAGAUCAGGAAGAGCGAUUGAUGGUAGAUUCAGGUGAUACCCAGGUAGCGUUGUUGCAUUACAGCUGACAGAUGUCUUGAUGAUGCACCCAAAAAACUUGUUAUAAUCGCUUGGAUCGAUGUCAUAAAUGAGGCCUGGAUCAGCUGCCCUGUUUGGGUUAAUGUUUCCACCUCCAUAGUCAAAUGGAUCAGCAAUCUUCCGAGGCACUCCUUCUGCCAGUAUUGGCAUGCCUCGUUCGUCAGUUACAGAUGCUUCGAUAUACAAAAUGAAACAGAGUCUGGAUGGAGGGCUUUCAGCAGCGCGACAACACCUGCUACAUGUGGCGUUGCCAUUGAUGUUCCUGUGCCAAGUUGGUAGUGAUCUUUCAUGGCUGCUAAAAUGUUGGAUCCUGGUGCAGCUAUGUCAGGCUGUCAUAGACGCAACAGCAACAAGACCAUUGGUAAGAUGAGGAAACACCGUGGCUUUCUACCGGAGGCUAAGUUUUUCUCCUAAGUUGGAGUUACGUACCUUGAUAAUAUCAGGGUAAUCAACCGAUGGACCUCUCGAGGAGAAUGCUGCUACUUUUGGCGCCAAUACUCCUUCUCCUGUGAUAGUGCGUGCCGGUUCGAUCUUUGCCAUUGUUUGUUCUACCUUGCUUCGCUGAUGUACGAGCCGAUCAGAUUUGCACUUUCAAGGUCCACGAGAACACAGGCAGUGCCGUUGCAGGCCGUUGUGAUGCCCAGGAGAUCAGUCGUGUACUGAGCAAAGAUUAGGCCAGAAGCCCCGGCACCCAGGACGGUUUUCAAUGCUAGUGGAAAAAGUGUAAGUGGUGAUAUCUCGAUGGAGAUGCACAGCACAAUUCUCCCCUUCACAUCCGUGCCGUUCAGAUCAUCCUUGGUGCAUCUAUCCACAAGAAAACGGCCUCCAUAUGCUAGAAGUCUGAAGCUGCUGCCUGAUGAGUUAUUCCCUUCGUAGUAGUACAUGGACUGUCCCUGCAAAAUAGCCAGAUUUUUGGACAAGAUAAGCCGUUGACCAAUGAGCACACAUCGUGUGGUGAUUAAUGGAUCACGUUUGUGCGUCGUACCACAAUCUGGCGCUUGUCCCCCAGAGUGAUCACGGUCGGGAACGACCGGUCAAUCUUGCUUGCCGCGACGGUGAUGACCCAGGGAGCAGUGUUCCUGACUACCUGCGGCGCAGGCCCAAAGUUCGUGGCUGCGUACACAACGGUGAUCCCCUUCUGGACGGCGUGCAGCGCGCCGAACGAGUUCUCCAGGGUACCCAGGGACAGCGACAGCACGUCCACGCCGUCGUGGAUCGCGUCAUCGAUGGCGGCAAGCACGGUGGCGGAGUUCCCUGACCCGGCGCCGCCCCUGCCCCAGACGGACUUGUACACCGCGAUGCGCGCCCGGGGCGCGCCGCCGCGGGCGGUGCCCGCGGCCAGCCCGUGGAAGCUGACCGCCUCCACGACGGAGCCCGCCGCGGUGGACGCCGUGUGCGUGCCGUGGCCGUUCACGUCACGGGGCGAGAGGUAGUCGAUCUUGAGGUCGUCCUCGUCCACCCCGGCGUGGUAGAACCGCGCGCCGAUGAUCUUGCGGCUGCAGUUGUUGCUGCCCCAUCCUUCUCCGACCUGACACACGCCCUUCCACCGUGCCGGCACCGGCCCGUACCCUUCGUCGCGGAAGCUUCUCGACUCCGGCCAUAUCCCUGUGGCAAGUGCACCACCAGACCAGCUGCGUUAUAAUGGGAUUGCGGCAGAAAUGGCGCCACCAAAAACAUUUGAACGUGCGCUCUAGACUAACCGGUGUCAACAACCCCGAUGAUUAUGUCUUCUCCGUAGUUGCUCCUUCGGAGUAAUUCACUGGGGUUUUGGUAGUUCAGCCCCAGGAAAUCCCAGCUCCGUGUGGUCGUUGUCUUGUACCUCCUGCUUCGCUGCACACUGAUUACUUCUGGUAACUCUGGAGAUAUCAGAUGCAUUAAGCAAACCACACAUGCUGAGUUUAUCGGGAUAAUCAUACUGCUCGAUUAGAAUCAGAAUGUGAGAAGUAUAUAUGAUCGGUAUUCUAGCCAAGUGAAUCGAUGUAUCAUCCUCUUUUCUGGAUGGGUAUAUCAGUUUAUUGGUAGGAUCAUCUGACCUGCAAGUUGUUCUGCUUGCUCUUCUGUUAGCAUUGCAGCAAAUCCUGAGAAUCCAUGCUUGUAGUUAUAGAUGAUGGAAGAUAAGGAUUCCUCUUUACUGAAAGUUCAACAUGGUUAAUUGGUUAGCAAGAAA